rnacentral:tRNA from 1 species
AUAUCGCGCCGGGCAUGAACGGAUAACUCUGAUGAUGUUAAUCACGAGAGUCUCACUCUCCGAUAUCA